GAUGAAGAACGCAGCGAAAUGCGAUAAGUAAUGUGAAUUGCAGAAUUCAGUGAAUCAUCGAAUCUUUGAACGCACAUUGCGCCCGCCAGCAUUCUGGCGGGCAUGCCUGUCCGAGCGUCAUUUCAACCCUCAGGGUCCCUCCGCCUCGCGCGGUCGGAGCCUGGUGUUGGGGAUCGGCCCGCCCCGCGCGGCGCCGUCCCCCAAAUACAGUGGCGGUCUCGCUGCAGCCUCCCCUGCGUAGUAGCAACACUCGCAUGCGGAGCGCGGCGCGGCCACGCCGUAAAACCCCCGACUUUCUGAACGUUGACCUCGGAUCAGGUAGGAAUACCCGCUGAACUUAAGCAUAUCAAUAAGCGGAGGA
rnacentral:misc_RNA from 1 species